UACGUAGGGUGCGAGCGUUAAUCGGAAUUACUGGGCGUAAAGCGUGCGCAGGCGGUUCGUUGUGUCGGCGGUGAAAGCCCCGGGCUCAACCUGGGAAUGGCCGUUGAAACUGGCGAACUGGAGUGUGGCAGAGGGGGGUGGAAUUCCGCGUGUAGCAGUGAAAUGCGUAGAGAUGCGGAGGAACACCGAUGGCGAAGGCAGCCCCCUGGGGCUGACACUGACGCUCAGGCACGAAAGCGUGGGGAGCAAACAGG
rnacentral:rRNA from 1 species